rnacentral:rRNA from 1 species
CCUACGGGAGGCAGCAGUGAGGAAUAUUGGUCAAUGGGCGCGAGCCUGAACCAGCCAAGUAGCGUGAAGGAUGACUGCCCUACGGGUUGUAAACUUCUUUUAUAAAGGAAUAAAGUGAGGCACGUGUGCCUUUUGUAUGUACUUUAUGAAUAAGGAUCGGCUAACUCCGUGCCAGCAGCCGCGGUAAUACGGAGGAUGCGAGCGUUAUCCGGAUUUAUUGGGUUUAAAGGGUGCGCAGGCGGAGGUGCAAGUCAGUGGUCAAAUUGCGGGGCUCAACCCCGUACUGCCGUUGAAACUGCAUCCCUUGAGUGCGCGAGAAGUAUGCGGAAUGCGUGGUGUAGCGGUGAAAUGCAUAGAUAUCACGCAGAACUCCGAUUGCGAAGGCAGCAUACCGGCGCGCAACUGACGCUCAUGCACGAAAGCGUGGGUAUCGAACAGGAUUAGAUACCCGUGUAGUC